rnacentral:rRNA from 1 species
UACGUAGGGGGCAAGCGUUGUCCGGAUUUAUUGGGCGUAAAGAGCGUGUAGGCGGCUUGAUAGGUCCGCUGUGAAAACUCGAGGCUCAACCUCGAGAUGUCGGCGGAAACCACUUGGCUAGAGUCCGGAAGAGGAGAGUGGAAUUCCUGGUGUAGCGGUGAAAUGCGCAGAUAUCAGGAAGAACACCUAUGGCGAAGGCAGCUCUCUGGGACGGUACUGACGCUGAGACGCGAAAGCGUGGGGAGCGAACAGG